rfam:Ovis aries breed Texel chromosome 2, whole genome shotgun sequence.
UUCCUAGUGGUCCAGUGAUUAAGACUUUGCACUCCCAAUGCAGAGGGCACAGGUUUGAUCCCUGGUUGGGGAA